AGUCACACACACCCCGGUCGAAUGCUCCUGUCGUCCAGUGUGAAGGUCCACUUACUGCACCCUCAGCAGAACUCAAUCCUCAAGAGCAAUUUGCUGUAUUUCAUAUUUUCUUGGAGAGGCUCUCCGAUAUUUUGACGUCUUAUCCUUCUGCUGAGCCUCAGAAAAGCUCUGCAUCAUCAUGGUCUUUUCGGCAGCAGAAAGCCUCAGAGCGCUGGAAAGAAGCGAGACCACACCACCUGAAAUGCCUUACUGCAACAGAGGCUGUUGGUCAGCCAUUGUGUUGGCUUUGCCACGAGCCUGCUGUUAUUAGAGAGUGUCUUCCUGAGGACUGGUUCUGUGGAGACUGUGAUGUAUUGCAUCACAAAAAACAGCCACUCCACAACAGAGAAUGUGUGAUUCAUGGGUUUUUGAAGCCAUUCCUCCAACCUCAUGCGUCAUUAAAGGGCGAGAUGGAUAUUGCAUCCAUGAGCAAGCUUGCAUUUUGCCAACAGUGAAGGCGCCAGACUGCUCCUGUGAAGGCACAAACUUCACCAUAUUACCGGGCAAACCAGUGAUUUUAAUUCCCAUCAAUGGGCGUUUUGACUUGCAUCAGCCACUACAUGUACGUCAAACGUGCCAGCAUCAGUGGACCCCUGACUUGAAGGACCUCCUUAGGAGUGGAUAUUGGCCAGCCUCUGUCACCAGCUCCACACUUUAUACACCGGACCUCCUCAACUCCUUUCAGGAACUCAAGGUCAUCUCUCCAGGAUUCUCCAGACAAGCCUUCGCAAAGCUGCUGGAGCAUUGCACUAAGAUUGGAGGAAGAUCUGGACAAAUCAACGGCGAUACACUACAGCGCAGCUUCUUAGAGUUUAUGCUUCAUUUGAGGAAGACCAGCUCUGCUGUGGUGCUCCUUUCACCUGCCCAGCCUGCACGCCGGAAAUGUUGGCUGUUUCAGCCGAUGGAAACAGAAAGCUAUAUCGCUUUCGCCGAGACACAAGCUCUGAUGAUCCUGCCUUUUUUGAGGGGCUCUUUGUGGCUGAAGACGUUGCGGUGUCUAGAUUUGUGGAAACCAUACAGAAAGCCGUGAGAAAUGCAAGUUUCAAUCAUAACUUGACCGAAAAGUUGUCCCAAAAAGAACCAUAUAUAUCCAUAUAUGUCCGACCUUGAUUUCCUCCUUGACUUCUACCAACCAGCUACUCCAAAAUCAAACUGCGAGAAUAAAUGCCAUAUAUUGUAUGACGGCAUUGCUUUUGUUUGAUUUGUUGUGUUUGUUAUGUGUGUCAUAGACACAGUGAAAAGGCACAUGUGGGGACUCCCAGUGGACAGCAGCGAGGGAGACAUCAAGGAGGGCUUCCAAAUUGGAUGAAGAGGGGAUGGAGGUUGCAGUGUGUCGCCACGGAUUCCUUCUGAAAGCUCUUAAUAUGUACAGGGGGGAGAUAUUUGCCCACCCUCUGUAUCUUCAGAAGGAGCGCAUGCCAGCCAAGGCACAAUUCUUUGCAAUGGAUGUGGCUUGCAAAUAUUGGCCAUACUUGGAGAAAGCUGCUAUGUCGUGUCUUUUCUUCCUUAACAAGCAGUAAUGACCACUGACGACUUGAUUUGAAAAAAAACGAACUGUUUACUGAAGCUUACGAACAGGAUUACACAGAUACAGCGCACACAUGUAAUCAUUCACUUUUCUUUCGUCUCUCACUUAUUUUUCUGCGCGCUCACUUUUUCUCUUUCUUUUUUGCGCGCUCUCUCCCCCUAUGCAUUAUGGGAGCACUUUUCUUAAAGCUGAACAACCUUGUAAAUAACAAAACUUUUUCUGUUAUUAAUAAAGAUAAUUAAUUAAACAUUUCUAAUCUAAUUAAUUCACAACAUGCUAGUGUCCUUCCUGCUCUUCAGGAUCUGACCACAAUGAAACCUUUCCUCAGUGUGAUGCAUGCUUGAGCCCAUGCUACUAAGUGUGAAGUAUGUAUAAUAUUCUUGCAUCACAUGUACAUUUGUAAUGUUUACAAGAAAAACUGCAAACUGUACUAUGUAGCCUUUUUGCUUAAUCGUUUCUUGUACAGAUUGUAAAGCCUUUGAGACAAAUUGUGCCCAUUUAAUUAAAUUGAAUUUCUUUCACCAUUUACUAAUAGAUUAAAUGGAGUGGUAGAAACCAGGAAGGAGCAGAGACAACCGCCGGUGAGGAGGUCGAGCAAGUGAACAGCUACCUCUCACGUUGUGCCCUGACAACCAAAUAUAUGUCCAAAGCAGCACGGGUAGACAUGCUUACAUUGCAUGCAAUGGGGUGGAACCACAAAAAACGUCUCUCUCUACAUCAGUCACUUUCAACAAGAUAUGUGACGACUUGCCAGAGACUCCAGGAUGAAACGGCAAGGCUAGCUGAACUAAAAACAGAGUUACUUUGCACAGAUGAAGUGGUGGCACAGUGGCUUUCUGAUGUGAAGGAAUGAGCAGCUGGCGAGACACCAAAUACAUCUCAUGGCAGUCAAGGCACCGCACACAGAGGACUUCAGCAGUCGAUCGAGGGGCUUUACCUCAGUGUGAGGCAGCGGAAGCAAACCCUUUACCGUCAGAAUGACAGCAGCAAGCUUCGCCACCGC